rnacentral:rRNA from 1 species
AGAGUUUGAUCCUGGCUCAGAAUCAACGCUGGCGGCGUGCCUAACACAUGCAAGUCGAACGGGAAAGCACUCUUCGGAGUGCGAGUAAAGUGGCGAACGGGUGAGUAACGCGUGGGUGAUCUACCCUUGGGUGGGGGAUAACUUCGCGAAAGCGGAGCUAAUACCGCAUGAGCCUCAUUUUGUAAGCGAGAUGAGGGAAAGUUUUCAAAUGCCGAAGGAGGAGCCCGCGUCCGAUUAGCUAGUUGGUGAGGUAAGAGCUCACCAAGGCGACGAUCGGUAACCGGUCUGAGAGGACGGACGGUCACACUGGGACUGAGACACGGCCCAGACUCCUACGGGAGGCAGCAGUGGGGAAUUUUGGGCAAUGGGCGAAAGCCUGACCCAGCAACGCCGCGUGGAGGAUGAAGGUUUUCGGAUCGUAAACUCCUGUCUAGAGGGACGAAGGAAGUGACGGUACCUCUGGAGGAAGCCCCGGCUAACUCCGUGCCAGCAGCCGCGGUAAUACGGGGGGGGCAAGCGUUGUUCGGAAUUACUGGGCGUAAAGGGCGCGUAGGCGGUUUCGGAAGUCAUGGGUGAAAGUCCUCGGCUCAACCGAGGGAUUGCCUGUGAAACCACGGGACUGGAGUGCUGGAGAGGGAAGCGGAAUUCCCAGUGUAGCGGUGAAAUGCGUAGAUAUUGGGAGGAACAUCUGUGGCGAAGGCGGCUUCCUGGACAGACACUGACGCUGAGGCGCGAAAGCCAGGGGAGCAAACGGGAUUAGAUACCCCGGUAGUCCUGGCUGUAAACGAUGAACACUUGGUGUGGGGGGUGAUGAAAGUCCCUCUGUGCCGGAGAGAACUCAUUAAGUGUUCCGCCUGGGGAGUACGGCCGCAAGGCUGAAACUCAAAGGAAUUGACGGGGGCCCGCACAAGCGGUGGAGCAUGUGGUUUAAUUCGACGCAACGCGAAGAACCUUACCGGGGUUUGAACUGCACUUGAGCGAUCUAGAGAUGGAGAGGUUCCCUUCGGGGACAGGUGCAGAGGUGCUGCAUGGCUGUCGUCAGCUCGUGUCGUGAGAUGUUGGGUUAAGUCCCGCAACGAGCGCAACCCUUGUCUGUAGUUGCCAUCAGGUUAAGCUGGGCACUCUACGGAGACUGUCGGCGAGAAGCCGGAGGAAGGUGGGGAUGACGUCAAGUCCUCAUGGCCUUUAUGUCCCGGGCUACACACGUGCUACAAUGGGCGGUACAGAGGGCAGCGAACCUGCGAAGGCAAGCGAAUCCCAGAAAACCGCUCUCGGUUCGGAUUGCAGUCUGCAACUCGACUGCAUGAAGUUGGAAUCGCUAGUAAUCGCGGAUCAGAACGCCGCGGUGAAUACGUUCCCGGGCCUUGUACACACCGCCCGUCACAUCACGAAAGUGGGCUGUACUAGAAGCCGCCGGCCUAACCCUCGGGAAGGAGGCGUCGACGGUAUGGCUCAUGAUUGGGGUGAAGUCGUAACAAGGUA